GAUUUACAUUUGAGUGAGUGGCGAACUGGUGAGUAACACGUGGGAAACCUGCCCAGAAGCGGGGGAUAACACCUGGAAACAGAUGCUAAUACCGCAUAACAACUUGGACCGCAUGGUCCGAGCUUGAAAGAUGGCUUCGGCUAUCACUUUUGGAUGGUCCCGCGGCGUAUUAGCUAGAUGGUGGGGUAACGGCUCACCAUGGCAAUGAUACGUAGCCGACCUGAGAGGGUAAUCGGCCACAUUGGGACUGAGACACGGCCCAAACUCCUACGGGAGGCAGCAGUAGGGAAUCUUCCACAAUGGACGAAAGUCUGAUGGAGCAACGCCGCGUGAGUGAAGAAGGGUUUCGGCUCGUAAAACUCUGUUGUUAAAGAAGAACAUAUCUGAGAGUAACUGUUCAGGUAUUGACGGUAUUUAACCAGAAAGCCACGGCUAACUACGUGCCAGCAGCCGCGGUAAUACGUAGGUGGCAAGCGUUGUCCGGAUUUAUUGGGCGUAAAGCGAGCGCAGGCGGUUUUUUAAGUCUGAUGUGAAAGCCUUCGGCUCAACCGAAGAAGUGCAUCGGAAACUGGGAAACUUGAGUGCAGAAGAGGACAGUGGAACUCCAUGUGUAGCGGUGAAAUGCGUAGAUAUAUGGAAGAACACCAGUGGCGAAGGCGGCUGUCUGGUCUGUAACUGACGCUGAGGCUCGAAAGUAUGGGUAGCAAACAGGAUUAGAUACCCUGGUAGUCCAUACCGUAAACGAUGAAUGCUAAGUGUUGGAGGGUUUCCGCCCUUCAGUGCUGCAGCUAACGCAUUAAGCAUUCCGCCUGGGGAGUACGGCCGCAAGGCUGAAACUCAAAGGAAUUGACGGGGGCCCGCACAAGCGGUGGAGCAUGUGGUUUAAUUCGAAGCUACGCGAAGAACCUUACCAGGUCUUGACAUACUAUGCAAAUCUAAGAGAUUAGACGUUCCCUUCGGGGACAUGGAUACAGGUGGUGCAUGGUUGUCGUCAGCUCGUGUCGUGAGAUGUUGGGUUAAGUCCCGCAACGAGCGCAACCCUUAUUAUCAGUUGCCAGCAUUAAGUUGGGCACUCUGGUGAGACUGCCGGUGACAAACCGGAGGAAGGUGGGGAUGACGUCAAAUCAUCAUGCCCCUUAUGACCUGGGCUACACACGUGCUACAAUGGAUGGUACAACGAGUUGCGAACUCGCGAGAGUAAGCUAAUCUCUUAAAGCCAUUCUCAGUUCGGAUUGUAGGCUGCAACUCGCCUACAUGAAGUCGGAAUCGCUAGUAAUCGCGGAUCAGCAUGCCGCGGUGAAUACGUUCCCGGGCCUUGUACACACCGCCCGUCACACCAUGAGAGUUU
rnacentral:rRNA from 1 species